rnacentral:rRNA from 1 species
GAUGAACGCUAGCUACAGGCUUAACACAUGCCAGUCGAGGGGCAGCAUGACCUAGCAAUAGGUUGAUGGCGACCGGCGCACGGGUGAGUAACACGAAUCCAACCUGCCGAUUAUUCCGGGAUAGCCUUUCGAAAGAAAGAUUAAUACUGGAUAGCAUAACGAGAAGGCAUCUUCUUGUUAUUAAAGAAUUUCGAUAAUCGAUGGGGAUGCGUUCCAUUAGUUUGUUGGCGGGGUAACGGCCCACCAAGACAUCGAUGGAUAGGGGUUCUGAGAGGAAGGUCCCCCACAUUGGAACUGAGACACGGUCCAAACUCCUACGGGAGGCAGCAGUGAGGAAUAUUGGUCAAUGGACGAGAGUCUGAACCAGCCAAGUAGCGUGAAGGAUGACUGCCCUAUGGGUUGUAAACUUCUUUUAUAUGGGAAUAAAGUGGGCCACGUGUGGCUUUUUGUAUGUACCAUACGAAUAAGGAUCGGCUAACUCCGU